GACGAACGCUGGCGGUGUGCUUAACACAUGCAAGUCGAACGGUAAGGCCCUUUCGGGGGUACACGAGUGGCGAACGGGUGAGUAACACGUGAGUAACCUGCCCUCAUCUCUGGGAUAACAGUCGGAAACGGUUGCUAAUACUGGAUAUGAGCUUGCAAGGCAUCUUGUGGGUUGGAAAGAUAUUUUUUGGUUGGGGAUGGACUCGCGGCCUAUCAGCUUGUUGGUGAGGUAGUGGCUCACCAAGGCUUCGACGGGUAGCCGGCCUGAGAGGGCGACCGGCCACAUUGGGACUGAGAUACGGCCCAAACUCCUACGGGAGGCAGCAGUGGGGAAUAUUGCACAAUGGACGGAAGUCUGAUGCAGCAACGCCGCGUGCGGGAUGACGGCCUUCGGGUUGUAAACCGCUUUCAAUUGUGACGAAGCUUUUUUGU
rnacentral:rRNA from 2 species